UACGUAGGGUGCAGGCGUUAAUCGGAAUACUGGGCGUAAAGCGUGCGCAGGCGGUUCGUUGUGUCCGUCGUGAAAGCCCCGGGCUUAACCUGGGAACUGCGAUGGAAAACUAGCGAGCUGGAGUGUGGCAGAGGGGGGUGGAAUUCCGCGUGUAGCAGUGAAAUGCGUAGAGAUCGGGAGGAACACCGGUGGCGAAGGCGGGUCUCUGGGGCAGUAACUGACGCUGAGGAGCGAAAGCGUGGGGGAGCG
rnacentral:rRNA from 1 species